rnacentral:rRNA from 1 species
UACGAAGGGUGCAAACGUUGCUCGGAAUUAUUGGGCGUAAAGGGCGCGUAGGCGGCAUGCCAAGCGUGUGGUGAAAGCCCGGGGCUCAACCCCGGGUCGGCCGUGCGGACUGGCGGUCUCGAGCACUGUAGGGGCGGGGUGGAAUUCCGGGUGGUAGCGGGUGGGAAUGCGUAGAGAGUCCGGAAGAACACCGGUGGCGAAGGCGG